GCACCUGCGGCGGACGCAGCGCGGCUUUUAUGGUAUCGUGCAGGUGAUCAGCCGACGUACCGUCCGGUAUCCGAAAUUUUCGGAUUUUAAGAUCCU
rnacentral:sRNA from 1 species